rnacentral:rRNA from 1 species
CACUCCUGCGGGAGGCAGCAGUGGGGAAUAUUGCACAAUGGGCGCAAGCCUGAUGCAGCCAUGCCGCGUGUAUGAAGAAGGCCUUCGGGUUGUAAAGUACUUUCAGCGGGGAGGAAGGCAAUACGGUUAAUAACCGUGUUGAUUGACGUUACCCGCAGAAGAAGCACCGGCUAACUCCGUGCCAGCAGCCGCGGUAAUACGGAGGGUGCAAGCGUUAAUCGGAAUUACUGGGCGUAAAGCGCACGCAGGCGGUCUGUCAAGUCGGAUGUGAAAUCCCCGGGCUCAACCUGGGAACUGCAUUCGAAACUGGCAGGCUUGAGUCUUGUAGAGGGGGGUAGAAUUCCAGGUGUAGCGGUGAAAUGCGUAGAGAUCUGGAGGAAUACCGGUGGCGAAGGCGGCCCCCUGGACAAAGACUGACGCUCAGGUGCGAAAGCGUGGGGAGCAAACAGGAUUAGAUACCCCGGUAGUCCCAUG